rnacentral:rRNA from 1 species
GUGGGGAAUUUUGGACAAUGGGCGCAAGCCUGAUCCAGCCAUUCCGCGUGCAGGAUGAAGGCCUUCGGGUUGUAAACUGCUUUUGUACGGAACGAAAAGGUUCUCUCUAAUACAGGGGGCUGAUGACGGUACCGUAAGAAUAAGCACCGGCUAACUACGUGCCAGCAGCCGCGGUAAUACGUAGGGUGCAAGCGUUAAUCGGAAUUACUGGGCGUAAAGCGUGCGCAGGCGGUGAUGUAAGACAGAUGUGAAAUCCCCGGGCUCAACCUGGGAACUGCAUUUGUGACUGCAUUGCUGGAGUGCGGCAGAGGGAGAUGGAAUUCCGCGUGUAGCAGUGAAAUGCGUAGAUAUGCGGAGGAACACCGAUGGCGAAGGCAAUCCCCUGGGCCUGCACUGACGCUCAUGCACGAAAGCGUGGGGAGCAAACAGGAUUAGAUACCCGUGUAGUCC